CCUUCGGGCGCUGACGAGUGGCGAACGGGUGAGUAACGCAUCGGAACGUGCCCAGUCGUGGGGGAUAACGCAGCGAAAGCUGUGCUAAUACCGCAUACGAUCUGCGGAUGAAAGCGGGGGACCUUAGGGCCUCGCGCGAUUGGAGCGGCCGAUGUCAGAUUAGGUAGUUGGUGGGGUAAAGGCCCACCAAGCCAACGAUCUGUAGCUGGUCUGAGAGGACGACCAGCCACACUGGGACUGAGACACGGCCCAGACUCCUACGGGAGGCAGCAGUGGGGAAUUUUGGACAAUGGGCGCAAGCCUGAUCCAGCAAUGCCGCGUGCAGGAAGAAGGCCUUCGGGUUGUAAACUGCUUUUCGUACGGAACGAAAAGGUCUGGGUUAAUACCCUGGGCUCAUGACGGUACCGUAAGAAUAAGCACCGGCUAACUACGUG
rnacentral:rRNA from 1 species